rnacentral:tRNA from 1 species
GGGCCCGUAGCCCAGCACGGACAAAGGCGCCGGCCUCCGGAGCCGGAGAACCGGGGUUCAAAUCCCCGCGGGCCCGCCA